GCCAAAGGAGCCCUCUGAAGACAGACAGUAAAGUCGACUCCCUGCAACUGAGAGUUCUUGCAAUCACAGAACACACAAUUAUGUUUGAGGUCCCCUUUCAUACUCCGAGUGGGUAGAAGACACCCUGAGAGUGGGAAUGCCUCCCUCCACAGCAUGAGCUACAGCAAUGAUUCUUAACCCGUGUCUGGAUUUCUAGCAGCUACAGCAGUGAGUCUUCCUGACAAUGAUGAGAAAAAUGUUUAUUUUUGUCUAAAAUAAUUUUCAAGGAAAGAGUAAUUUGAUUGUAAUGAUACAAUACCUAUUUUUA